rnacentral:rRNA from 1 species
CCAGACUCCUACGGGAGGCAGCAGUGGGGAAUAUUGCACAAUGGGGGGAACCCUGAUGCAGCGACGCCGCGUGGGCGAGGAAGUAUUUCGGUAUGUAAAGCCCUAUCGGCAGGGAAGAAGAAAUGACGGUACCUGAAUAAGAAGCACCGGCUAAAUACGUGCCAGCAGCCGCGGUAAUACGUGGGGGGCAAGCGUUAUCCGGAUUUACUGGGUGUAAAGGGAGCGUAGACGGCGAUGCAAGUCUGAAGUGAAAGGCGGGGGCCCAACCCCCGGACUGCUUUGGAAACUGUAUAGCUGGAGUGCAGGAGAGGUAAGUGGAAUUCCUAGUGUAGCGGUGAAAUGCGUAGAUAUUAGGAGGAACACCAGUGGCGAAGGCGGCUUACUGGACCGAAACUGACGUUGAGGCUCGAAAGCGUGGGGAGCAAACAGGAUUAGAUACCCGGGUAC